CCACCACUUGUCCUGCCACCGCACAUGGCUCUGACAAUAUGGAGUCUUACAGCUGCAUGCUUCUUCUUGGCUCUGUGCAGCCUCCAGCUGACAAGAUGAGGGCCAGGGGAGGUCAGUAGCCGACAUCUGCUAUUCAUUACUGGCAGGAACUACAUUAUUACAAUGUGAAUGUCUGGCAGGUAGUCAGAGGAGCAGUGACUAGUAGGUGACCACAACUUGGUUAGUGUCUCACUGGCUCCUUUGCUGAGGUGCCUCCGUUGUACCUGGAGGUCAUGUGGUGAUCAUGGGUCCCCUGCUCUGUGGCCAACAAUACUUCCUGUCCCACAUCCUCAGUCAGUGCCAGCAGCUGUCAAAUGGACUAUACGCACGUGCGUACUAGCUAGUGCAAUAAGACACUCUAUUGUAACAUUACUCUACUUCUUCUGUGGCUUUAUAGUUACGCUAGCUAUUUUUGCUCGGUUUGUUAGAAUUUUCUCUUUCACGCAGUUUUAUGGUUACUUAAGUGUUUACUGUAUCAAUAGCCAAUUUUCUAAUUAUUGAGUCAUUAUUGUCACAAACUCUUCUCACAGUUUGCAAAUAGAAAGGAAUUGAACUGUUAU